ensembl:snRNA U6 U6 spliceosomal RNA
GUGCUCACUUAGGCAGCACAUAUACUAAAAAUUGGAAUGAGGCAGAGAACAUUAGCAUGGCCCCUGUACAAGGAUGACAUACAAAUUCAUAAAGCAUUCCAUAUUUUU